rnacentral:rRNA from 1 species
GAUGAACGCUGGCGGCGUGCCUAAUACAUGCAAGUCGAGCGAACAGAUGAGGAGCUUGCUCCUCUGACGUUAGCGGCGGACGGGUGAGUAACACGUGGAUAACCUACCUAUAAGACUGGGAUAACUUCGGGAAACCGGAGCUAAUACCGGAUAAGAUAUUGAACCGCAUGGUUCAAUAGUGAAAGACGGUUUUGCUGUCACUUAUAGAUGGAUCCGCGCCGCAUUAGCUAGUUGGUAAGGUAACGGCUUACCAAGGCAACGAUGCGUAGCCGACCUGAGAGGGUGGUCGGCCACACUGGAACUGAGACACGGUCCAGACUCCUACGGGAGGCAGCAGUAGGGAAUCUUCCGCAAUGGGCGAAAGCUUGACGGAACAACGCCGCGUGAGUGAUGAAGGUCUUCGGAUCGUAAAACUCUGUUAUUAGGGAAGAACAAAUGUGUAAGUAACUAUGCACGUCUUGACGGUACCUAAUCAGAAAGCCACGGCUAACUACGUG